GUCCUCGGCUCCGUCCCCGCUAGAGCCGCCCGGUACGCGGCAAUAAAAGAGGUGAUAAUGACAAACGGAGCCGAUCUGUUCCUCGUUCGUUCGUUCUCCCAGAUGACAGCUAUCACGGCUGUUCAGGACUUCUGUCAUCCAAGGAGCAGCAGGUCACCCUGAGGCCAUCGGGGACUGAUUCCAUCCAUGGGGAUGAGGCCAUGCAGUGUGAGAAAGUGCUGUUGUGUAAUGAUGAAGAAUGGAAGCUCCUGCUGGAAGCCGAGCAAGGUGAAGGAGCAGCCUGAUUGCACUUGCGCUGCUUAUCUGGCUGCUUGAUCCAUGAGAACGUGUCUCGGAGCAUCUGGAAACGUGUGGAUAGCUUCCAUCCCCUCCCAGAGACUUGCGGGUCCUGGCUGCGCGCAGGAGGAGGAUGGGAGAUUUGGAGCCGUGGCCGCUCUGCAUGGCAACAUGCCUGUGAGGUUUGCUGUGCUUGGAUAGAGCAGAACUGUGCAAAAACAGAACAAGAUGGGAUUUUUCCAGGUUUAAUUUGAGCUUUAACUUGUUCCAAGUGUAACAUUGAGAUCUUACCGCUUCUUUUGUUUUCCACGCUCCGCUGCGCUCUGUGGCAGCAGCAGUCACAAGUGUCAGACCAUCAACUAAGCCUGGUUUUGAGUUGAGUGUGAAGGAAACUACACUGACAAUGAAAACACUCGCGGGGUAUUUCCAUGCCAAGGCUGUGUGCAGGUUUGGCACCCCUCCUCCCUUUGCACACCCCACAGUGAUGUUGGAGCUCAGUGGGUGAAGGUGGGAGCGGGGCCACUCGUGGCAGCCAUGGUGCAUGGGUCCGGUGGGAUUUGCGUCUCUAUUUCUCUGUUGCUGUUCUGAGUGGAGCUUGUGUGAGUAAACCUAUUGUGGUUUUAAGUUAACGUGCAAUUGGACAAGGAAGAUUAUUUGAGUGUUUGCUCUGUAUGUUUCUCCUUUGUCUUUUGUCUUGCUUGACUGAUACACAGCAAUGCACUUUGGCAACCUCAGCCUACCCCUCUACUCUCAUUAGCACUCCAGCAUGUGUUUUUACUUUAUGGAGGGCCGCACGGCGUUGCGGAUGGCAAUGGGAGAGGAGGUGGUGUGGGUAUGUGGCAACCACUUCUAGCACUGACAGCAUCCUGGCAUUUUUGAGAAGCCAGAGUUGUCACACGGUUUGUUCUGAAAGCCAUUUGCAAUCUUAACUGUAGUAACAGUCAUAAUCAUCGUCCCGCUAGUGCAGAGGAUGUGUGGGAGAAACAGGCCUCCUUGAAAAUUCCCUCCGAGGCCGUGCCAAGCCUGAAGCAAUCUUUUUUUCAUGACGGAAAGCCGUUCUCACGGCGGUGGGUAGCAGCCCAGCUGCGACGUGUCAGCGCCGAGCGCUGCGUCCCGCUCUGGAGCAGCACGGCUCCGCUGCAUCCUCUCGUCAAGUGUGUAGGAGGCGGCGUGGUCGUUUCUGCAGAAGCAGGGAAAUGCAGCCCUGGCUGUGCUGCGAUGUCCUCUGAGUCAGCAGAGCGGCCCUGUGCCCUCCCGGCCUCGCAGCCUGCUGCAUGGAGCGGCGGUGCCGCAUGGCAGCCCCUGGGACGCAGCGCAGCCACACACAACGGAUGGGGCUGUCAGAGCCGUGCUGUGUGCUUAUGGCUGGGGAGGUGCUCUGGGCACAGGGCUUGUCGCUGCUGCAGAAAAUUGCCCCACAGGGGGUCGUUUCUUGUGCUUCUUCCCAGCCUGAUAGCGUGUGGUAGGAUGGAGCUUUGGAAGCUGGAUGAAAAUCAGUUCUGAGUUUAAAAAUGCAGCCAGGUGUGGUCGGUCGAGUCAUUUUUCUGCCUCCUGAUGCUUCAUAGACAUGUCAGCAGUGGACAUCAUCACAAGCAUAAGGAACGAAGUGAUCUAAAACUCUCCACCAAGCAGGGAAGUAGCAUUAAUCUUGUUUUAUUCAGAGGGAGAUGGAAAUAAAGGAGUUUGAUACAGCUUGUCCAACAUCACAUGGAGGAUCUCUUUUACAAAAACCAGAUCUCUCAUCUCUUAAUCUGAGGCAUUAGCUGCAGCAACAUCCUUCUUCCUUAACGUCCCUUCAUGCAUGCAGUAACUUUGCACUAACGGUCUGUUUUUAUUGGGCAUCGCCUUGAGAAAUGAUUUCUUUGAGCCCCGGCCAACUCACUCACUGGCUUUUGUUCAGCUGUAAUGAGAUGGCUUAACAUAAAUUCAGGAGCAUGCCAGGGCUUUGCACCUGAACAGGCAGCCAGAGGUCUGAACCCUACGUCCAACACUUAGAAAAACAUCCCCGGAUGUUGUUUGCAGAGAAUCAGUGAGGAAGAGGAUGAAUGCAGAUGUGUGACACGUGCCAGCUGCAGCGAUCUCAGGUACUUGGGCCUGAUUCUUUCUCGUGUUACGCUGUAUCAUUGCUCCCUGGUUCAGUCUGCAUCUUUUCUGUCAGAGAGGCAGGGAGGGGAAGAUGUGGCCUCACAUCAGCGAUGUUGGGCCCAAGCAUGACUCCAGAGAGGCUGGCUGAUUGGGGGCAGAAGGAAGCGAGGUUUUGGUGGUGGUAGAGGGGCAGUGCUGGGUCCUACAGCAGAAUGGGGCAGUGGGAGUGCCAGGGCCUUCCGUGCCACCCUGAUUCUGAACAGUAUUGCUGUGACUGACUUUGUUUGCUGUUUGCAAUAGUUUUCUCUUUGGGUCCCAGACCAGGCAGUUUUUGGCUUGGUUUUAAUUACCAUCUGACCUCCUCACUGCUAGUUCUCUUCUGCACUUGCUGUGUUGCAGUCAUUUUGCUCUGGGCGGUAUUCUGGGAAAAACUAGGACAAGCUCCUUGGUGCCUUUGGUAGAUGUUAUGCCUGGAAGGUGGCCCAGUGCUGUAAGAAAUGCUCCUGACUGAGUAAGAGAAGCCAAGAAGUAAAAAGUUAGGAUAGCAUUCCAGUUAAAACAUGGGAGCACCUCUUGCCAUUUCAGAGUGGCUUAGCCUAUGUCAUCACAGUGCUGAAAGAAAGGAGGGUCUGGAUGCCGCAGCUCCCAGGAGAGUACUGAUCAUAUAAACAACAAUGAAAAGCUUCCAGUGAUAGCCUGGAACACCACCUUCUGUCUGUCUGUGUAGUGCUGGGGAGGACAGCCCCACAAGGCAGGCCCCAGCGUGCGCUCCUGUCGGUGUGGGUGCUGCUGGCAAGAGGUGGUGGUUCUGCUAUGGGUUUGUCAAGUCCUUUUUCUAACGGGGCUCUGGCCUGAUGGUGCUGUAGCUGUGUAAAGGGUGAAUAUUGAAAUGUUAUUAUCUAGUCCUGAGCAGGCACAAACUCGCUGUUUUUCAUCCCUGCUGAAUUUGCCAUCCCUACUGAGUUAUUCUUAGAAUGUUGUUGAAUAAAAGCCUAGCUUGUCAGCAUGGCUUCUUUUUGAUUGUAUUUGUGCACUGAGUCUAACCUACGGACAAUGGCGAGCGUCAUACUGAUUUGUGGAAAUGCUCCUAAUUCUUUGUCUUGUGCCUUUUUAAAUGAAGCAGUCUCUGAAGUGUUUAUCUACAGCGCAUAAAAGCCCCUAUAAAUGGAUGCAUAUUCCUAACUUUAUAAGACUUGCAUAUUAAUCUGCUUAUUUUCUGCCUGAACAAAGGGCCUCCGGAACCCACAAACGUAGUCAUAAUUCUCCUGAUCUGGUUUGCUGCAAGGUUUUGCUUGACUACACAGAUGUUUUCCAUGUAUUUGGCAAAAGAGGGGUCAAAGCCUGCAUCUGGCCCACUAUUUCUGGCAAAAACCCCGAUGUGCUUAAUCCUUUUUGAACAUGAAUAUUCUGAGAGCUCAUUUGAUUUAUUAACCUGAUUAUUUUAAUGUGGAGAAACAAUGUGGAACAGUGACCUUCGUUCAGGAAAAUGCUUGUCCAAGUGUUUCUGCUCUGAAUCCGUCCAAGCUCAAUGCAGAGUGUGUGAAGGACUGGUGUACACCACAGGGCUACUCAGGGACACAGGUAAGCCUCUUUGCAAGACUCAGGUAUGGUUGGCUCUUGUGCUCUGCGCUGUGUAGUGGGACCUGAGCCAUGAAGUAAUGCAAACAAGGUCUGGAGGAGGGGUUAGGUUGCUUUUCCCCGUAGCUGAGGAGUCCCAGCCUGGGCAGUAUUGCAUGGGGCUCUUCAUACAGGUGUGGGCUGAGCUCACCUGAAAAUCACAGCAGGGCAUGUGGGGACUGGUCAUGUGUAGUAUUGCUGAAUGAGCAAGAAGAGUUGGUUUUCAGGGGAUGUUACACCAUGCGGUUUCAUUAAACACUCCUCUCCAUCUCCCUAAAGAGCAGGAGAUCACCUCUUCCUGUCUGCUUUGGGAACGUGCAGCGAUAUCCCCAUUCUCUGCUGGGUAGAGCUAUCUGAGUGUCCCCAGUGUGUAUUGAGCAGGGCGCUGUACAGACAUGAGGCAGAUGGAUGCCAUCCUUGAGGGCUUUGCAAUAGAAGUGUAUUUCCUCAGUGAAUGGCAGUGCUGCAGGAUGAGUAAUGCCCUUAACAUUUUAUACGGAGCUUCGCAGUCUGUAUGACGGGGCUGUAGUCUGGGUCACUAUUCCUCCCUUCCUAUUACUCACAGAUAAACUGACUAAUUCACACAUUUUUGGCCAACAGUUUUCAAAGUUGGCUGCCUAAAAGAAAGCAUCUUUAACGAGAGCGGCUGGGUUUCAGAAGCUGCUGAGGAGCCACUGAUGCCAAGCAGAGCCCAAUUUACAAUCACUGAGCCAAGUUUUUCUUUAUAACUGCAAACCCUGGUAAGCAUUAUCACUGUAGCUGGGAUUGGAAGGGUACCGGGCUCCAGCCAACCCCAAGAGCAGUGCAGCAGCCAGGAGCAGGCCGGGCAUGCAGCCGGGAUGCCCAGGGAGGUAUCUGCGGGGGAUGAGCACUGCUUUUGCAAGCUGGGUGUUGGAAAAGGAAACCGAUGGAAACAAUAACCGAAGCCAAUAAACAAUCCUGUAUGCAACAAACUUUAAAAUUCUCCAUUUCGUAAGAAAUAGCAAUUGCUCGGGGCCAGUAUCAUAAACGCCCAUCUCAGAGUGCUUCCCUCAGCUCUGACCAUGACCAGAUGUUUAGUCAAAUCCUGUUAACCUCCGUUUCACAAGUUCAGGCUCUUCCUGUGCUCGGGGCCAGAACCAAAGCUGGCUGGUGUGAUGGAGGGCCUCCUUGGGACACAGGGGCUCCAGGUCGGGACUUGAGAUGGUUCGUGUGAGUAUUGGAAAGCAGUUCUCAAACAGCUCUCACUGUGUUUUGAGUACUGCUCGCUUCUGGGCUUUGAAAAUGUGUCAGUGUAGGCAUCUGUGAAAAUCAGUCUCUGUGAGAGACACUGAGUGAAACCUGGGGAUGAGGAAGGACACACGUCUAAAGGCUCGUGAAAAGCUGAGCUCACACAACUUGUGUUACAUGUUGGAUGCAUUGUAUUCUCCUCUGUUGCAGAGAAAUCUCAAUGGGAAAAGAAAUCUGGAUGUUUCAAAACGUACUUCUUUUCAUUCUGCAUGUAUGGCAUGGAUUGAAUAGCAGUCAUCCAGAAAGCAGAAAUACCAGUGUCAGAGUCAGAACGCUUAUACAGGGUAGAGAUUUGCUGUUCCAUUUCACUCUUCUAUCCUGGUGUGACUUUGUGACCUCAAGAAAUCCCUUUCUAUCAUGAAAGCUGUCUCCAAGAAUUGGCACCUUUGUGAUUACAUCUCAUUUCUGGUGCUGGAGAGCUGCAUCCAGGAGCUCAAGCUGUGAAGUGGUGAACAAAGCCCUCUGCUAUCUUGUGCUUCUUCACAUAGAUGAAAAUGGACACAAAGAAGCUGGAUUGUGUCUUAAGGUGAAGAAAGAUGCAGCAGCAACUUUGUGAUGGUGCUCCUGGAGAGCAGCGCGGUGCAGCUGGGCUGUGGGGACCACCAGCAUCCCUGCCUCUGCAUCACCCCAUCCAGCACUGGGAAGCACUUCUGUAGGCGUGGAGGUUUCCAUCUUCCAGGCUGUUUGGGCAUGGAGUGCUCCAACAAGGUCACUGACUUGCCCUGUUAUUCUGAAGGUCUCCAUAUCCAUGUGACAUGUGCAGUCCAUGUGAACUAUCUACAGACAUUAGAGAUUUACACUUUUUGUAGACCUUUGAGGAUGCAAAUCCUACAAGUUGCACUUUAAAGAUCUUCUGCUUGGCGUCACAGCCCCAUCCGUGCCAUCUGGAGGAGCGGAGCAGCCCCGAGCUGGCUGAUGGAGACAAGCUGAAACCAGACGUAUAUCUGUGGAGAUCUAUUCUUCUGAAGCACGGACAGAUUUCCUGAGCGCCACCAUUCCAAAGGCAGGCACAGGGAUGCAGCACCAGGCACCAAAGCAUUGUCCAGCCCAUCAGCACAAAGUGACAUGAGAGGGUGUCUGGACUAAAGUAUAGGCAAGAGAAGCUAAACUAAGCCCUACUAAGCAGAGCAACGUCCCAGUCCUGCAAGAAGCUGGUGCUGAAGUGCAAAAGGGUCUGCAAAAACUGAAGACAAAGGAAGCCUCAAAAUAGUGAAACUUCAGAUGAGAAAUUCUUGUGUAAACUGGCCUCCUGGGUCAGUAAUCAUGUUGAAAGACUUGAGAACUGGGGUAGAUUCCCUCAAAUUCCUGAAUAACUCCUGACUGACCACUUUACCUCCACUGCUCUUCUGUAAAAUGGCAGUAAGUUGACUUUACCUCCUAGGGCCUUUGUUAGAAAAUGUAUUUAUUGCUGCACGCAGGUACCCAAAAUUCAAGGCAAAUGCGUGUUGUAUUUUUCAUUACAGCAUGUCCUGUGUAGAGUUUAAGCUAAUAUGCCCCGAUUAUGGCUCACGAUGAUGCGAUGAUUCGUAAGAGGAACAAGUUGGAAUAGAUUGAAAUAUAUACAUGUAAAAGAAGGGUGUGCGGCCUCCCAGCACUCUUUGAAAUAUAAAUGUGAGAAUUCCUUUAGGUGUAGUGCUGGAAGCCCUGGAAACCCUCAUGCCAGCUCACACGGGCAGGUGCUGAGCAGAAGGAGCAUGCCAGGAGACAGAGAAGAUUUGGUUUCUGCCAGCAGGCCGCAAAGGCUGCAGCCCCACAGUGCUCUGUUGUUGCAAGCCUAGGACAGGCAGUGGGAUGCACCCUGUGAGUGCUGCCUUCUGCUUUCAAGCUCAGGCAGAAGGCUUAUUGCGGUAUGCCCUGGACCUGGGUAUUGGUUUUUGUGUUUUGUUUGUGUUGUGCUUUUUUCCUUGUCUGCUUUUUUACCACCAAUUUUUCUGAGUUCAAUUUUCAUUUGAUUCCCUCUCUUAGGCUAUUAUUUACAAUCGAACAGCAAAAUGUUACAGGCUGAGCAGGCAGGGCACUAUAUAUAGCAAAAGCAGGGCAGUUCCCUGCUCUAAUCAUCUCCUGCUGCUUUUAUGUAGAUAGUAAAUGAUGGGCCACAGGGUGAGCUGCAAUUCAGCUCUAGGAAAUGCAUGUCAAAGGAGUUUAAGCACUGCAUCCUGCCCACACCAAGAGGAGGUAAUUUGGGCUUGACAUGGCAGUACUGGGUUUUCACAGAGCUGAAGAGUUUCAGAUGAGAUCUUGUGUCCUUUGGCCGAGCGCCCAGAGAGCCCAUGUUUCAGAAUAGGAUAUUUACAACAGCAAACUGUAGCGUUCCCCGCUUUGAGUAACAGGCAGAUUUCAGCCAAAACAAAACAAAAGAAAAGCAGCCUUCAUUCACACCGUCCCCCUCUGCUGACCCUGCUGUCGUGCUCAGCCUCCCUCAGCCCUGGGUAGCGGGCCUGCCUCAGCUGGGGACAGCCUCACGGCUGCCAUUUGCUUUGUUUGUGCUUCAGGCUCCUUCCACUGCCUCGCCUCCCCCGAGCCGCCUGGCUUGCACUGGCCUUUUUCCCUCUGCCAAGCCUGCUUCACUGCCUGCUCAGGUCUGGGGCCGUUCUGCUGCCUGCUCUUUUUACAGCAGUCCAAGUGAG
ensembl:lncRNA